CAGUCGUUGUGCAGACACUUUGGUGACUGUAGAUAACCUCGGACCGAUCCCUGUGACGGCGACGACGCAUUCGGUUGUCUGCCCUAUAAACUUUCAAUGUUACUUUCUGCGCCUACCAUGGUGACCACGGGUAAUGGGGAAUUAGGGUUCGAUUCCGGAGAGGGAGCAUGAGAAAUGACUAACACAUCCAAGGAAGGCAGCAGGCACGCAAAUUACCCACUCCCGACACGGGGAGGUAGUGA